rnacentral:rRNA from 1 species
GACGAACGCUGGCGGCGUGCUUAACACAUGCAAGUCGAACGGAAAGGCCCUGCUUUUGUGGGGUGCUCGAGUGGCGAACGGGUGAGUAACACGUGAGUAACCUGCCCUUGACUUUGGGAUAACUUCAGGAAACUGGGGCUAAUACCGGUUAGGAGCUCCUGCUGCAUGGUGGGGGUUGGAAAGUUUCGGCGGUUGGGGAUGGACUCGCGGCUUAUCAGCCUGUUGGUGGGGUAGUGGCUUACCAAGGCUUUGACGGGUAGCCGGCCUGCGAGGGUGACCGGCCACAUUGGGACUGAGAUUCGGCCCAGACGCCGACGGGAGGCAGCAGUGGGGAAUAUUGCACAAUGGGCGGAAGCCUGAUGCAGCAACGCCGCGUGCGGGAUUACGGCCUUCGGGUUGUAAACCGCUUUCGCCUGUGACGAAGCGUGAGUGACGGUAAUGGGUAAAGAAGCACCGGCUAACUACGUG